rnacentral:lncRNA from 1 species
CCUGCCUGCCAACCCAGGCCGAAAGUCCAGAGAAUUUAAUUUGCUAGCACUCUAUUUUACCCUGUAACUUUCUAUGACACCCUAAAACCUGUACAUGGGGGAUACCGUUUUACACGGGAGACUUCGCUGAACACACAUUUUAGUGAAUCAAAACAGUGAAACAUAUCACAGCGAUGAUAUUGUCAGUGAAAGUGACUUUUUUCGCAUUUUUCACACACAAACAGCACUUUUACUGAUGAUAUAAUUG